rnacentral:misc_RNA from 1 species
AAAUCACGCGCCACGAACCUUAAUGAUAUAAGCCAAGGACUGAUUGCUGCGUGACAAGUCGAGCUACCGAGGCGGGAACGGGCGCGCAAUUGGGAUGCUUUCAGAUAUAAUCUAUUGAUGUAACGACCAAAAUGAUAUCGCAAACAGUUGAUUCCUUUGGUUUGAAAAAUCAAGGAGGAUUUGAUUAGUGUCAAAAUUGAUGUCAAAAUCAAGACUGUUGACGUUUUAGACAGACCUUCGAUCGAUUAUGCGUGUCCGAGCAUAAUCGGUUCACCAAAAUUUCGAUUUUUCAGGAAUUUGAGCCUCAUUUGAUUCGAUAUUUCUACGCCAACAUGCCGAGGAUUAAAGUCAAGCCGGCUCAGCAUGAAGAUACUUUGCCCUUUACCGUCGCACUGGAUUCUGCAACUGACAGUUUCUCGCACUUUCAAACAGAAGAGUCCGGAGAGAAGGAGAAGCAACCGGUGAAGGGCAAGAAGCGAGCCCGGGUCAGCCCUUGUCAGACGGUCAGCGACUUCGCGCUGAACGUGUCGUCUGCGCACGGCCUGCCCAACAUCUUUCGCGCCAAAACCAAGCUGGGACGCCUGACAUGGUCCCUGAUCUUCUUCGUCGGGAUUGUCGUGUCCAUCUGGCAGGGGACCCUGAUAGUCGUCAAUUACUUGAACUUUCAAGUUACGACUGAGGUGAAGAUCGUGACGCACAGUUCGCUGGAGUUCCCUUCCGUCACCGUGUGUAACACCAACAAGCUGCGGCUCUCAGCCAUCAGCAGGUCCAGACAUCGACAAAUGUUGGUGGUCGACCACGACGUUUCACUGCCGUACUAUGCCCCUUGUGUUGGUGACGAUUUCCUAUGCAGGGACCGCCCUGUGUGUAUCAAGCCAUACCUGCUGUGUGAUGGCAUCAGGCAAUGCGGUGUGACGGACACCAGCGACGAAGACGACUGCGAUUACGACUUCGGCUCGUGCGCUGAUGACGAGUUCCGCUGUGUCGACUCGGGCAGUCAAUCGGGUCUGUGCAUACACAAAGACAAGGAAUGCGACCGGAACAAAGACUGUUACGGAGGAGAGGACGAAGAUGACUGCGAAUGUAAGAGUUCCGAGUUCAAAUGCGAGAAGCGUGGAGGCUGCAUCCCUAAGGCAUUAGUCUGCGAUGGUUAUUCUAACUGUAUUGACGGCAGUGACGAAAAGACCUGCAUGCCAGACGGGUACUUCCAGUGUGACGAUUCGUCCUUCCGAUGCGUCUCAACGAACACAUGCAUCCCUAAGACAUAUGUCUGCGACAAUGAUAACGACUGUGCUGAUGGGUCAGAUGAGAGCAUAACCGCUUGCGCACUACUUACGACAACUUCUGCUCCAUUUCUGUGCGACUACGAUCGGUUCAGUUGUGGCAAUGGCGUAUGCAUACCGAACAGCUGGCUGUGCGAUUCCGAAGCCGACUGCGCCAAUGGAUUGGACGAGAGGGAGUCACACUGUGGUCUGACCAUCUGUGACGCCCACAAGGUGCGCUGUAGUACGGGCAGUGGGUGCGGCAUCCAGUGUGAUCUGAUAGCAGACUGCCCAGACGGUAGCGACGAGAAAAACUGCCAAUGCGCGACGAGCGCCGACGGAUCGUCCAACUACAUUGAGUCUGUGUCGUGCUCGGGAAUCUAUGGGACCAAUUUUAGCAACCCUUUCUACUAUGACCAGCACCUGAUUUGCAAUAACACCGGUACCAGAUUGCAUCUGAGUUCCUUUUUCAAUUGCAUUGGUGGGCACAUCACUUGUUAUGAGCCAGUCACAAACAUCGAGAAACCCUGCAAAACAGUGUACUCGGAAUGCUACACCAGCCCCAACGGGCAGGAUUACCGUGGCUCAACAACAGACAACACCUGCCUUCCCUGGACUAACCCCGGUAUAGCCGAGGUGGGUUACACCGGGGCAGCCUACCCGGAGUUGGAGGGUGUUGAACCGGGCACUACGGUAGGCCACGCUUGCUGCAGGAACCCGGGCGGGCUGAGGUCGGGGCCGUGGUGCUUCGCCAAGGAAGAGGCAUCCGGCUCGGUCCAUCUCGUCCAACACAAUUGCACGGUGGGGCCGCCGAGCGCUACGUGCUCAAGAGAUCCUUCACCGUCCUCCAGACGUCGACGAUCGACGGGGGAUCAACCGACAGAUUCACCGAGCGAUCUAGUCCGUCAGGCACACCCUGGUAACCAUAGCAACGCCACUUAUUCGUUCUUUUGUCUGAGUGGGGAACGGGUUCCUCUCUGGCAGACAUGUAACGGGUUUCCUGAUUGCGAUGACGGGAGCGAUGAGUGGGCCGCAAACUGCAGUGAUAUUGUGUCAGAAUGUGGGAUCAAUGAAUUCCAAUGUCGAGAGAGGACCCAAGAGGGUACAGUCACGUGUAUACCGAAGUCCUACGUGUGUGACGAUUACCCUGAUUGCCUGACAGGGCAAGAGGCCGGGGAGCCUAGCCAUACACCGUCUGACGAAUCGGCAUGCGCAACAGCAGACGAGACACUACCGGCUGACUACUUCCGCUGUGCUAACGGUCAUAAGAUGAUCCAUAAGUACGACGUCUGCAACACGGUGCCUGAUUGCUUCCCUGAGAAAGAUGAUGAGUACGCUUGCACUUGGGAAAACAGAACAAGUGGGGAGGUACCAGAUCCUUUCGAGUCUCCGCUGUGGUAUCAGAAAUACGCCCCACUGGUUCGAAAAAAGUACCACUACCUCUUCGACGACUUCAGCUAUCGGUGGCGCCCUUUCGACCGUGUCAAAGGUGAAGACCCCCCGGACUGGAACAGCUUCGUUACGUACAGCGCCACACCUGACUACAGCGAUCUCGUGGAAGUUCCCAAACUCAGCAAGGAUGAAGUGCACCAGUUCGGACACCAGAAGGAGGACUUCAUCUUGCAGUGCUCGUAUGAAGAGACGAAAUGCAAUCUGAGCGAUAUUCAGGAGUUCCAGGACGACACAUAUGGAAACUGUUUCACCUUUAACCCAGAGGGGUUCUUUGCUACCUCCACAACAAGCUCUAGAUAUGGUCUCCGGAUGACCCUGUUCUUGGAGCAAUCCGAGUACAUCAGUAUCUUUGGGCAGGAGGCUGGUGUCCGUGUCGCCAUCUCCCCUCCCGGUAUCCGACCAAACCCGACCCACCAUGGGUUCACUGUCAAACCAGGAACAGUGACUUCCAUCGGGCUCAGAUAUAACUUUGUGAACCGGAAGCCACAUCCCUACGGAAAAUGCCAAACGUCUGUUGAGAAUUCACCCAUCAUCGAAGAUGGAGUAGUGCGAGAGAUCAGGGAAACCGAGCAGUAUGACAGAGGGCUCUGUAGGAAAAGCUGCCUUCAUCGCCACAUACUGGAACAGUGCGGUUGUUCGGAUACUCUAGAGCUCGACGGACCACGGUGUGAAAUACUGAACACGGAGCAAGUGAGGUUUACUACACAAAGACAAGCUCAACCUCCGCUUGGCCCUCGGCCAACUUCAUGAAACAUCUUUUGAAAAAUUUACACUCCAUCAACCAGAAAACUAAACACCUAAACGGGAACAACAUCGACAAAAAUAUCGUACGAAUUGAAG